GACACACGGCGGGUGCUAACGUCCGUCGUGAAGAGGGAAACAACCCAGACCGCCAGCUAAGGUCCCAAAGUCAUGGUUAAGUGGGAAACGAUGUGGGAAGGCACAGACAGCCAGGAUGUUGGCUUAGAAGCAGCCAUCAUUUAAAGAAAGCGUAAUAGCUCACUGGUCGAGUCGGCCUGCGCGGAAGAUGUAACGGGGCUAAACCAUGCACCGAAGCUGCGGCAGCGACACUAUGUGUUGUUGGGUAGGGGAGCGUUCUGUAAGCCUGCGAAGGUGGCCUGUGAGGGCUGCUGGAGGUAUCAGAAGUGCGAAUGCUGACAUAAGUAACGAUAAAGCGGGUGAAAAGCCCGCUCGCCGGAAGACCAAGGGUUCCUGUCCAACGUUAAUCGGGGCAGGGUGAGUCGACCCCUAAGGCGAGGCCGAAAGGCGUAGUCGAUGGGAAACAGGUUAAUAUUCCUGUACUUGGUGUUACUGCGAAGGGGGGACGGAGAAGGCUAUGUUAGCCGGGCGACGGUUGUCCCGGUUUAAGCAUGUAGGCGGAGGUUCCAGGUAAAUCCGGUACCUUUUAACGCUGAGGUGUGAUGACGAGGCACUACGGUGCUGAAGUAACAAAUGCCCUGCUUCCAGGAAAAGC
rnacentral:rRNA from 1 species